CCCGUCCAGCGGAACGACCGGCGAACUCGUUGUUAACCAAGCCGACGGAGGGGGCGACGACGCGCCCGCGCCACGAGCCCCCUGCGUGCCCCCGAGCGCGAGACCGUGCCCCGCCACGCCUACCCGGCGGGGUGGAGGCCCGGUCCCGUCGCUCGUGGACGAACAACAAAACCCCCGGCGCGAAUCGCGCCAAGGAAUCGGAACAAGAAAGAGAGCGUCCGACCUCGCCGACCCGUUCGCGGUGCUCGUGCGGGCGACGACGCGGCUCCUUUCGUCGCGAAAAACAGAAAACGACUCUCGGCAACGGAUAUCUCGGCUCUCGCAUCGAUGAAGAACGUAGCGAAAUGCGAUACUUGGUGUGAAUUGCAGAAUCCCGUGAACCAUCGAGUCUUUGAACGCAAGUUGCGCCCCAAGCCACUAGGCCGAGGGCACGUCCGCCUGGGUGUCACGCAUCGUCGCCCCCUCCGUCCUUCGGCCCCUCGGGCUUCGGACGAGGCGGGGGCGGAGAAUGGCCUCCCGCGCGCUCCCCGCUCGCGGUUGGCCCAAAAUCGAGUCCCCGGCGACGGCGGCGCCGCGACGAUCGGUGGUGAUGCUUUGAGCGUUCCUCGUCUCCCGUCGCGCGCGCUUCCGUUCGCGAACGGACCCCUCGAGACCCUUCGAGCGUCGCGGGAAAGGCGCUCGCGUCGCGACCCCAGGUCGGGCGGGAUCACCC
rnacentral:rRNA from 1 species